GGGGUCGUAGUGUAGCUUGGCUAGCACAGUAGGCUCCAGAGCUUGGCCUCCGGGAAUUCAAAUCCUGGCGACCCCACCA
rnacentral:tRNA from 1 species